CUGACCCUGUGGGAAGUUCUUUGACCGAAAGCUACACACACGGAGAUGUGCCUCCUCCAGACGCUCCGGUGAUUUACAGGGCUGUAUCUUCUGACCCUGUGGGAAGUUCUUUGACCGAAAGCUACACACACGGAAAUAUGCCCCCUCCAUACACUCCGGUGAUUUACGGGCCCCGGUGGUAUGACUGGGAUGAAAACUUUUUGGCCUGAAUCUAAACAGAAGUGGGCUUGUUUUUCUUUUCUUUUUUCAAUGUUGUUGUUAUUUUACAGCCCUAAUUUGUGGGUUGUUUUGAGUUCACAAUGAAGAUAAAUGAGAAUGUGUGAUGCAUCUGCAGCCUCGUGAAUCAGAAAGGCACCCAUGGCCUGUGUCCUGAGUCCUGCUUGGCCCCUAUUUGAUAUUUCAUUUCUGCGUUUACUGAUGGGGUUGUAUUGAUUUUUCUUUUUGCUCGUUUUGAAAGCAGAAUAGCAAUAAAGCCUUGGUUAAAAGUAAUAGUUCCCGUCAUUUCAUACUUGAGAAUGCUGCAGAAAGUUCCAUUGAUUUAAAAUGGGCGACGGCAAGCAAAAUGUCAUCUGAAAUAUAGGCUUUAAUUAAUCAAUGGUGGUCUAUCAAGUAACUACAGCUGCCAUGAAGCCAUUUAAUCUAUGUUACGCAGCUAACAGUUGACCCCUCGACCUUAGGGGAAUCCUACCGUUCUAUGGUUUAGUGGU
ensembl:lncRNA